rnacentral:pre_miRNA from 1 species
ACCGUCUCCUUUUGGUGCAGGAGUUUGUAUAUGAACAUCUAGCACCAUUAGAAAAUGGU